CGAACCUUGACGUUUGGACUUGGUGUUUGUCUCUGCAUUGUCCAAUUUUAGCAAGAAUCUUGGUAAGCUGGUAAGAAUGGUGAGAUUCCCCAUUCUUCAUACUUGAUCAUCCUUGAUAUCUAACUGGCUUCUUCCUUAUCCACCCAUCGUCCAGCUGACGUCUGAUCACCCUGGCCUGCCUUCAGUACGAAUCUUGUUAGAUCAAGUCAAGACACUGCACUUCAGUAACUGAUAUGAUGAAAAACUCAGCAGGUUUCCAAAUGCGUCAUAAAAUAUUAUUGGGUCAGGGACCAUGCAGGCUACCAGAUGGUUGAGAAUGAUUUAUUUCCUUGACUUCAGACUACUGAAGAAUGAUUGCAGGAAAAAAGCCAGUUUUUAUCUCUGAGCUUACAGAAUAUGAAAGAUAAGAGAGACCUUGCGGUUCAUCUAGUCUGGAUUCAUUCUUAAUUUAAAAACCCAUUCUACACUACCAAUGACAUGGUUAUCUGACCUUGACUUCAAUAUUUUUAGUGAUGAGACACUCAUUAUUUUACAAGAUAACCUGUCUCACAAUUGGAUGGAUUUUGAUGAGCAAGGUCUUCCUUCUAUUGAUUCAAAAUUUCCUUCCUGUAACUUCUGGCCCUUGGAGCAACAACGUGUAAGUCUAGUUCCUGUUCUGAAUUAUGAACUUUGAAAUAUUUGAACACAUCUCAACUAUCUCCCUUCAGUGCUCUCAACUUCUGAAUAAACAUCCCAAAUACCUCCAGCUGUUCCUCACUUAUUUCUCCUUUUGGAACCCUCAUCUUCCUACUGAAUGAUCUCUGGACACACCGUAAUUAGGAAAC
rnacentral:lncRNA from 10 species